CAGCAGGGGGAAUUUGGACAAUGGGGGCAACCCUGAUCCAGCAAUGCCGCGUGUGGAAGAAGGCCUUCGGGUUGUAAAGCACUUUUGUCCGGAAAGAAAUCCCUUGCCUUAAUACGGCGGGGGGAUGACGGUACCGGAAGAAUAAGCACCGGCUAACUACGUGCCAGCAGCCGCGGUAAUACGUAGGGUGCGAGCGUUAUUCGGAAUUACUGGGCGUAAAGCGUGCGCAGGCGGUUUUGUAAGACAGGCGUGAAAUCCCCGGGCUCAACUUGGGAAUGGCGUUUGUGACUGCAAGGCUAGAGUAUGUCAGAGGGGGGUAGAAUUCCACGUGUAGCAGUGAAAUGCGUAGAGAUGUGGAGGAAUACCGAUGGCGAAGGCAGCCCCCUGGGACGUCACUGACGCUCAUGCACGAAAGCGUGGGGAGCAAACAGGAUUAGAUACCCUGGUAGUCCACGCCCUAAACGAUGUCAACUAG
rnacentral:rRNA from 1 species